rnacentral:lncRNA from 1 species
AUGACCUCUCCAGCAACCACACCUGCGUGCCGAUCGCCCAGUGCCCCUGCAUGCUCAACGGGGCAGUCCACGCCCCCGGGGAGGUCACCAGGACCGCCUGCAGGACCUGGUCAGUGCAGGGAUGAGGGGAGAUGGGGGGACACAGGGGGGCUCCAGCGAGUCACCAGGACCGCCUGCAGGACCUGGUCAGUGCACAGCCGGGGGGUGGGACAUGGCGGGGACACAGGGGGCUCCAGCGAGGUCACCAGGACCGCCUGCGGGACCUGGUCAGAGCACAGCCGGGGGGUGGGACAUGGCGGGGACACAGGGGGCUCCAGCGAAGUUACCAGGACCACCUGCAGGACCUGGUCAGAGCACAGCCGGGGGGUGCUCCUGUGGGCCGGCCAGAGCGGCCGUAGAAUGGCUUCAGCCCCACAGACACGGGAUGGGUGCUGCCCGGCUGCCCGCCUCCUCCCCACAGCCAGUGCACCAUGGGCCGCUGGUCCUGCACAGAACGGCCCUGCCCCGGCCACUGCUCCCUGGAAGGAGGGUCCUUUGUCACCACGUUUGACGCCAGGCCCUACCGCUUUCACGGCACCUGCACAUACAUCCUCCUCCAGGUGGGGCGAGCUCCGAGGCCGGUGGGAAGGGGGCCCCCCACCCCCGUGCCUGAGCCUCCGCCUCUUCUCAGAGCCCACAGCUCCUGGACGAGGGCACCCUCAUGGCCGUGUACGACAAGUCGGGCUACUCGCACUCCGAGACGUCCCUGGUCGCCGUCAUCUACCUGUCCAAGCAGGUAGGGCACCAGCCUGGGCACCCCCUGGGCUCCUGCCCGCUGCCUGCCGCCCGCGGCCGCUGCUGACUCGGGCACCCUCCCUGCAGGACAAAAUCGUGAUCUCGCAGGAUGAGGUGAUCACCAACCACGGGGACGUCAAGUGGCUGCCGUACAAGAGCCGUAGGUCCCGGGGCCUCGCCGAGCCGGGGCCGCGGAGGGGCCAGCCCGGGGAGGGCGGUGGGCAGCCGGCUGAGCACGUGUCUUGCAGGCAACAUCACGGUGUUCAGGCAGACGUCCACUCACCUCCAGAUGGCCACCACCUUCGGGCUGGAGCUGGUCAUCCAGCUGCGGCCCGUCUUCCAACUCUACGUCACCGUCGAGCCCCAGUUCCGAGGCCAGACCAGAGGUGA